UUCUUGGUGAGGGAGCUGAUGUUCAGUUCCCACUUGAGGUCCUGGGAGAGGAUAGUGCCCAGGAAGCGGAAGGACUCCACAGGGUUUACUGGGGCUGUAUUCUUAGUAGUCCACAAACAUCUCCACUGUCUUAAGAGCAUUAGCUCUUGGUUGUUCUGGCUACACAAGGUCACCAGGUUAUUUUAACUACUGAUAGUGGUAGGUUAUCUUGCUAACACAUAUCCAAAAAUGCACAGUGUCCAAAACACUAAGAACAUUAUUCUAGUUUUCUAAUACUUUACCAUUGUGUUGGCCGGUAGGAUUUGUAACGCAAAUAGGCCUAAUGUCAGUUUUCUGGUCAUUUCCACAAAAUUAUGCAUAAAGUAACUCUGCGAUUGGGGCCACUAUAAAAUGCAUUCUGAGUAAAACCUUUCACUUUGGCACCAACCUUUUAGUCCAGCAUAUGAUCUGGACAAGUCAUGGGAUAAAGCCCCAGUUUAUAAAAAAGUAACUUAUUUGUUGCACAAAUUUACCCUGUAACCAACACAGAAAUGUAUGAUAUGACUUGUGCUUGGUUUGGAAAGAUGUACAUUUUUUCGAACAUAUAGGGGUACAAAUGCAAUAAGAAAGAUGUCAGUGUGUGACCCAUGGUGUGACCAAAUUUAUGUUGGGGGAUGGGAUGACUACUGCCUCAGGGCUGUCAAGGAAUUUCCUAGGAGAUUAGAAACAGUAAGUCUAUUGUUAUUAAUGCUAGUAAACAGAAAACUCUGUGAAAUCAACAAUGAACUGUCCAAUAUAAUAAUUGGACAGUAAAUUGGACAGUAAAAAUAUUUAUCUCGGAGACAACAUUGAAUGUUGAUUUUUGAAUGAGGAAGGUUCACACAUGCGCAGUGGUUGUAGCAGUAGCACUUUGCUUCUCCCAACUGUCACUGCCGCACAUGGCGCGAAAACCGGAGAAGAAUGGAGGUUUCAGCUGCUCCAGAAGUUAUAGGAUUCAGGAAUUAUACUGACUGAAGAAGAGACAAAGAGAUUCAGAGAUUUACAUUUUCUCACACUCUACAUUGUCACCUGGAGUCAGCUCUGUAACCGUGGCCCCAAGUUUUUGUGGAAAUGGCUGAGACCGAUUUCCUCAGUGCCAUGGAGAGAACGACAGUGGGGAUCUAUGUUGUGAAAGACACUGCCAGCAGUGAACCCUCUGAUGUCAGGAUAGUCCUCAAAGGUGUGAUGGUGCUUCAAGAUCUUGAGAAUGUAGCACUUGCUUCUGCAAUGUUGUUUGGGCUCUUAUGCCUUGAACAUGCAGCACCCUACAAAGCUCCGCUACACCUUUGAGGCAUUUCAAAAGAUCAUCAUGGAGCCUCAGCAUCAGACACUUAAUAAUAUGAGCCUGUCAGCUGCAAAAACAGAACUUUUAGUGACACUAACUGACCAUGCACAGUUGCCCUAUAUAACGUUGCAGCCCGGUUCACAGCAAUCUUGCUCAAUGCUGGACCAAUUUUCAUGAAUUAACCACUAGAUAGCCUAAAUUUAUAUUGAUUGGCUGUAAAUGUAGCUGUUUUUUAAGUAUGCUUGUUUUUCCACUGUCCAAUUAACAUUUUUAUAUCUAUAAUUUCUUUAAAUUGACUGAUUAAUACUGUAAAUGUGCUGACAUUCCUUUUUGAUUAAAAGUACAUAUUCAGUA